AUGAUGACUAAUAAGUGGGGCCACUGAUUUAUGAGGAGGGUUUGGAGCGCUGA
rnacentral:snoRNA from 1 species